rnacentral:rRNA from 1 species
GAUGAACGCUAGCGACAGGCUUAACACAUGCAAGUCGAGGGGCAGCAUAGAAGUAGCAAUACUUUGGUGGCGACCGGCGCACGGGUGAGUAACGCGUAUGCAACCUACCUAUCAGAGGGGAAUAACCCGGCGAAAGUCGGACUAAUACCGCAUAAAACAGGGGCACCGCAUGGUGAUAUUUGUUAAAGAAAUUCGCUGAUAGAUGGGCAUGCGUUCAAUUAGGUAGUUGGUGAGGUAACGGCUCACCAAGCCGACGAUGGAUAGGGGAACUGAGAGGUUGGGCCCCCACACUGGUACUGAGACACGGACCAGACUCCUACGGGAGGCAGCAGUGAGGAGUAUUGGUCAAUGGGCGGGAGCCUGAACCAGCCAAGUCGCGUGAAGGAAGAAGGAUCUAUGGUUCGUAAACUUCUUUUGCAGGGGAAUAAAGUGCAGGACGUGUCCUGUUUUGUAUGUACCCUGAGAAUAAGGAUCGGCUAACUCCGUGCCAGCAGCCGCCGUAA